UACGUAGGGUGCAAGCGUUAAUCGGAAUUACUGGGCGUAAAGCGUGCGCAGGCGGUUGUGCAAGACAGAUGUGAAAUCCCCCGGGCUUAACCUGGGAACUGCAUUUGUGACUGCACGGCUAGAGUGCGGCAGAGGGGGAUGGAAUUCCGCGUGUAGCAGUGAAAUGCGUAGAUAUGCGGAGGAACACCGAUGGCGAAGGCAAUCCCCUGGGCCUGCACUGACGCUCAUGCACGAAAGCGUGGGGAGCAAACAGG
rnacentral:rRNA from 1 species